rfam:Sclerotinia sclerotiorum 1980 scaffold_9 genomic scaffold, whole genome shotgun sequence.
GUCUUCGUGGCUCAGUUGGUUAGAGCGUUGGUCUCAUAUUCUUAUAUGAGGUGGUUGUUAACAAUCCACUUUAGCCAUCCAAAGGUCGUGAGUUCGAGUCUCACCGAGGACA